rnacentral:lncRNA from 1 species
GCAACCAUUCACUGGCUCACUUUAGUGGUCAUCCUGAAUAAAUCUUUGCAGAGCAACAAGAAAAAUCCUGAGAGUCAAGAAUGAAGUUCCCUCUCCUAUCAUCCAUUCAGCUGGGAGGUGCCAUCUGCUUGAAGACAUGCUGGUCAAUGGAUUGGAAGUUGAAGUAUUAUGUGGAAGCUUUCAGGGUAUGUUGGAAGAUUGGAAUGAAAUGGUCAACAUUGCUUUGACUACCAACUAUAGAGGUGUAAAGAGGAAGAGAGUGACAGAGAGACAUCAGGUCCCAAUCCCUGGAACCUGCAAUUAUUACCUUAUAAGAAAAAAGGGUUUUUGCAAAUAUGAUUACAUGAAGAAUUGUAUAAUGGAGAAAGUAUUGUGGAUUUUCUGGGUGGGUCUUAAAUGCAAUCACAGAGAAAGGCAGAGGGGGAUUUGA